UUGAACAAGAUCUUAGAAGGCAAAACAAGAAAGAUAGCUGCAAGGAUGUUCUUUGAGACACUGGUCUUGAAGAAUUAUGGACUGGUUGAUGUACAACAAGAAGAACCUUAUGGUGAUAUUACUUUGAAAAUGACUCCCAAACUCUCCAAGGCUCAAUUUUGAAGUUAUAUAUUUGGUGUUAUUUAACAUGCUUGGUCAUCAAUUUUGAUGUAUAUAGAUGGGUCCAUACAAUAGCAGCAACAGUAGAAUAAAUUUUGUAACCGUACAUAAGAUGCAUAGUUCACAUGUUAUUUGGCUUAAUUAUUGUGAUCAAUAGCUUUGCUUGCAGACAGUAGUUGUAAUUUGUAAAUCCUUUUAUUAGAACUUGUAGCCUUUUAAAUAAUGAAAAUGGGCUCAGUCCCCUUUCCUUUGGUAGUAAA